rnacentral:rRNA from 1 species
GUAUAGCAUUAUACCGUGAAACUGCGAAUGGCUCAUUAAAUCAGUUAUCGUUUAUUUGAUAGUACCUACCUACUUGGAUAACCGUGGUAAUUCUAGAGCUAAUACAUGCUAAAAACCCCGACUUCGGAAGGGGUGUAUUUAUUAGAUAAAAAACCAAUGCCCUUCGGGGCUCCCUGGUGAUUCAUAAUAACUUCUCAGAUCGCAUUAGCCUUGCGCUGGCGACGGUUCAUUCAAAUUUCUGCCCUAUCAACUUUCGAUGGUAAGGUAUUGGCUUACCAUGGUUUCAACGGGUAACGGGGGAUUAGGGUUCGAUCCCGGAGAAGAAGCCCGAGAAACAGCUUCUACAUCCAAGGAAGGCAGCAGGCGCGCAAAUUACCCAAUUCCGAUACGGAGAGGUAGUGACAAUAAAUACUGAUACAGGGCUCUUUUGGGUCUUGUAAUUGGAAUGAGUACAAUUUAAACCUCUUAACGAGGAACAAUUGGAGGGCAAGUCUGGUGCCAGCAGCCGCGGUAAUUCCAGCUCCAAUAGCGUAUAUUAAAGUUGUUGCAGUUAAAAAGCUCGUAGUUGAACCUUUGGCCUGGCUGGCAGGUCCGCCUCACCGCGUGCACUUGUCCGGCCGGGCCUUUUCUUCUGGAGAACCGCAUGCCCUUUACUGGGUGUGUUGGGGAUCAGGACUUUUACUUUGAAAAAAUUAGAGUGUUCAAAGCAGGCCUUUGCUCGAAUACGUUAGCAUGGAAUAAUAAAAUAGGACGUGCGGUUCUAUUUUGUUGGUUUCUAGGACCGCCGUAAUGAUUAAUAGGGACAGUCGGGGGCAUCAGUAUUCCAUAGUCAGAGGUGAAAUUCUUGGAUUUAUGGAAGACUAACUACUGCGAAAGCAUUUGCCAAGGAUGUUUUCAUUAAUCAGUGAACGAAAGUUGGGGGAUCGAAGACGAUCAGAUACCGUCGUAGUCCUAACUAUAAAUGAUGCCGACUAGGGAUCGGGCGAUGUUUCUAUUUGUGACUCGCUCGGCACCUUACGAGAAAUCAAAGUGUUUGGGUCU